UACGUAGGGUGCAAGCGUUGCCCGGAUUUAUUGGGCGUAAAGGGCGCGCAGGCGGCUACGCACGUCCGUUGUGAAAUCGCUCGGCUCAACUGGGCGGGGUCGGCGGAUACGGCGUAGCUGGAGCAAGCUAGGGGGCAAUGGAAUUCCCGGUGUAGUGGUGGAAUGCGUAGAUAUCGGGAGGAACACCAGUGGCGAAGGCGGCCAGCUAGACCAGUUCUGACACUGAGGCGCGAUAGCGUGGGGAGCAAACAGG
rnacentral:rRNA from 1 species